ACUCAAAGGAAUAGACGGGGGCUCACACAAGCGGUGGAGCAUGUGGAUCAAUUCGAAGCAACGCGAAGAACCUUACCUGGGUUUGACAUGCACGGAUGCCGUCCAUGAAAGUGGAGCCGGCUGCCUUCGGGUGAAACGUGUACAGGUGCUGCAUGGCUGUCGUCAGCUCGUGCUGUGAAGUGUCGGGUUAAGUCCCUUAACGAGCGAAACCCUUAUCUCUAGUUGCCAACGGGUCAUGCCGGGAACUCUAGUGAGACUGCCGGCGUUAAGCCGGAGGAAGGUGGGGAUGACGUCAAGUCAUCAUGGCCUUUAUGCCCAGGGUGUCACACGUGCUACAAUGGGGCGUACAGAGCGAAGCAAAGCCGCGAGGUAGAGCAAAUCGCAGAAAACGCUCCUCAGUUCGGAUUGGGGUCUGCAACCCGACCCCAUGAAGCUGGAAUCGCUAGUAAUCGCGUAUCAGCCAUGACGCGGUGAAUAUGUUCCUGAGCCUUGUACACACCGCCCGU
rnacentral:rRNA from 1 species